rnacentral:rRNA from 1 species
UACGGGGGGGGCAAGCGUUGUUCGGAAUUACUGGGCGUAAAGGGCGCGUAGGCGGCCUGCUAAGUCGGACGUGAAAUCCCUCGGCUCAACCGAGGAACUGCGUCCGAUACUGGUGGGCUUGAAUCCGGGAGAGGGAUGUGGAAUUCCAGGUGUAGCGGUGAAAUGCGUAGAUAUCUGGAGGAACACCGGUGGCGAAGGCGGCAUCCUGGACCGGUAUUGACGCUGAGGCGGCGAAAGCUAGGGGAGCAAA